AAUUCUCAGUCGCAAUCCUCUGACAACUGUUGAAAAUUCAUAUCUUUUUAAAUUAUCACCAUUACAAUAUCUAGACAUGGGAACAACACAAGUAUCACUUACCACAGUUGAGAAUAUCCUCAUGACGACUCUUGAAUUGCAAAACCUGAUCUUACCUAGCUAUAUGGCCCACUGCCUCUGCCAAUUUAAAAAAAAUAUUGAGGUUGUAUGCAAGACAGUCAAGCUGCACUGUGACAGUUCAUGUCUGACA